rnacentral:rRNA from 1 species
AAACAUGUCUUUUUGAAAAUAAUUUAAAGUUUAAUCUGCCCACUGAUNAAAUUAUUAAAGGGCUGCAGUAUUUUGACUGUACAAAGGUAGCAUAAUCAUUAGUCUCUUAAUUGGUGACUUGUAUGAAAGAUUGGAUGAAAUAUAUACUGUCUCUAUUUAAUUUAUAAAAUUUAAUUUUUUAGUAAAAAAGCUAAAAUGAAUUUAAAAGACGAGAAGACCCUAUAGAGUUUAAUAAUUUAUUUAAUUAUUAUUAAUGUAUAAAUUUUAAAAUUAAAAUUGAAUAAAUUAUUUUGUUGGGGUGAUAGAAAAAUUAAAUUAACUUUUUUUUUAUUUUAUACAUUAAUUUAUGAAUAAAUGAUCCAUUAAUAAUGAUUAAAAGAAAAAAUUACCUUAGGGAUAACAGCGUAAUUUUUUUUUUUAGUUCAAAUAGGAAAAAAAGUUUGCGACCUCGAUGUUGGAUUAAGAUAAAAAUUAAAUGCAAAAG